rnacentral:rRNA from 1 species
CUGAGAAACGGCUACCACAUCCAAGGAAGGCAGCAGGCGCGCAAAUUACCCACUCCCGGCACGGGGAGGUAGUGACGAAAAAUAACGAUACGGGACUCAUCCGAGGCCCCGUAAUCGGAAUGAGCACACUUUAAAUCCUUUAACGAGUAUCCAUUGGAGGGCAAGUCUGGUGCCAGCAGCCGCGGUAAUUCCAGCUCCAAUAGCGUAUAUUAAAGUUGUUGCGGUUAAAAAGCUCGUAGUCGGACUUGUGUCACACGCUGCCGGUUCACCGCCCGUCGGUGUUUAACUGGCAUGCACGUGCUGACGUCCUGCCGGUGGCCCGAGCCGGGCCGGGAGUUCUGGGUGCGGGAUUUCCUUCGCGGUGCCCGUCCCGACCCCGGUCUCUGGGGAGGGCCUACUCAUACCCCUCGCGGUGCUCUUAACCGAGUGUCUCGAUGGGCCGGCACGUUUACUUUGAACAAAUUAGAGUGCUUAAAGCAGGCAGCAGCCGCCUGAAUACUGAGUGCAUGGAAUAAUGGAAUAGGACCUCGGUUCUAUUUUGUUGGUUUUCGGAAUCCCCGAGGUAAUGAUCAAUAGGGACAGACGGGGGCAUUCGUAUUGCGACGUUAGAGGUGAAAUUCUUGGAUCGUCGCAAGACGGACCGAAGCGAAAGCAUUUGCCAAGAAUGUUUUCUCUGAUCAAGAACGAAAGUUAGAGGUUCGAAGGCGAUCAGAUACCGCCCUAGUUCUAACCAUAAACGAUGCCAGCCAGCAAUCCGCCGAAGUUCCUCCGAUGACUCGGCGGGCGGCUUCCGGGAAACCAAAGCUUUUGGGUUCCGGGGGAAGUAUGGUUGCAAAGCUGAAACUUAAAGGAAUUGACGGAAGGGCACCACCAGGAGUGGAGCCUGCGGCUUAAUUUGACUCAACACGGGAAACCUCACCAGGCCCGGACACCGGGAGGAUUGACAGAUUGAGAGCUCUUUCUUGAUUCGGUGGGUGGUGGUGCAUGGCCGUUCUUAGUUGGUGGAGCGAUUUGUCUGGUUAAUUCCGAUAACGAACGAGACUCUAGCYUGCUAAMUAGUCGCUUCCGBCAUCCUUUUGCGCUGCCGGCGACUUAUDAUCUUCUWAGAGGGACAGGCGGCUUCUAGCCRCACRANAUUGA